AUGAACGCUAGCGGCAGGCUUAAUACAUGCAAGUCGUGGGGCAGCAUGAGUAGCAAUACUUGAUGGCGACCGGCAAACGGGUGAGGAACACGUACACAACCUUCCUUCAAGCGGGGAAUAGCCCAGAGAAAUUUGGAUUAAUACCCCAUAAUAUAUUGAUAAGGCAUCUUAUUAAUAUUAAAAGCUUCGGCACCUUGAUGAUGGGUGUGCGGCUGAUUAGAUAGUUGGCGGGGUAACGGGCCCACCAAGUCUACGAUCAGUAGCUGAUGUGAGAGCAUGAUCAGCCACACGGGCACUGAGACACGGGCCCGACUCCUACGGGAGGCAGCAGUAAGGAAUAUUGGACAAUGGACGAAAGUCUGAUCCAGCCAUGCCGCGUGAAGGAUUAAGGUCCUCUGGAUUGUAAACUUCUUUUAUAUGGGACGAAAAAGGGCAUUCUUGUUCACUUGACGGUACCAUAUGAAUAAGCACCGGCUAACUCCGUG
rnacentral:rRNA from 1 species